rnacentral:rRNA from 1 species
GAUGAACGCUGGCGGCGUGCCUAAUACAUGCAAGUCGAGCGAACAGACGAGGAGCUUGCUCCUCUGACGUUAGCGGCGGACGGGUGAGUAACACGUGGAUAACCUACCUAUAAGACUGGGAUAACUUCGGGAAACCGGAGCUAAUACCGGAUAAUAUAUUGAACCGCAUGGUUCAAUAGUGAAAGACGGUUUUGCUGUCACUUAUAGAUGGAUCCGCGCCGCAUUAGCUAGUUGGUAAGGUAACGGCUUACCAAGGCAACGAUGCGUAGCCGACCUGAGAGGGUGAUCGGCCACACUGGAACUGAGACACGGUCCAGACUCCUACGGGAGGCAGCAGUAGGGAAUCUUCCGCAAUGGGCGAAAGCCUGACGGAGCAACGCCGCGUGAGUGAUGAAGGUCUUCGGAUCGUAAAACUCUGUUAUUAGGGAAGAACAAAUGUGUAAGUAACUAUGCACGUCUUGACGGUACCUAAUCAAAGCCACGGCUAACUACGUG